UACGGGGGGGGCAAGCGUUGUUCGGAAUUACUGGGCGUAAAGGGCUCGUAGGCGGCCAACUAAGUCAGACGUGAAAUCCCUCGGCUUAACCGGGGAACUGCAUCUGAUACUGGAUGGCUUGAGUCCGGGAGAGGGAUGCGGAAUUCCAGGUGUAGCGGUGAAAUGCGUAGAUAUCUGGAGGAACACCGGUGGCGAAGGCGGUUCUCUGGGCAUUACCUGACGCUGAGGAGCGAAAGUGUGGGGAGCGAACAGG
rnacentral:rRNA from 1 species